AGAGUUUGAUCCUGGCUCAGGACGAACGCUGGCGGCGCGCCUAACACAUGCAAGUCGAACGGAGCUUACGUUUUGAAGUUUUCGGAUGGAUGAAUGUAAGCUUAGUGGCGGACGGGUGAGUAACACGUGAGCAACCUGCCUUUCAGAGGGGGAUAACAGCCGGAAACGGCUGCUAAUACCGCAUGAUGUUGCGGGGGCACAUGCCCCUGCAACCAAAGGAGCAAUCCGCUGAAAGAUGGGCUCGCGUCCGAUUAGCCAGUUGGCGGGGUAACGGCCCACCAAACCGACGAUGGAUAGGGGUUCUGAGAGGAAGGUCCCCCACAUUGGUACUGAGACACGGACCAAACUCCUACGGGAGGCAGCAGUGAGGAAUAUUGGUCAAUGGNNNNNNNNNNGGAGGCAGCAGUGGGGGAUAUUGCACAAUGGGCGAAAGCCUGAUGCAGCGACGCCGCGUGAGGGAAGACGGUCUUCGGAUUGUAAACCUCUGUCUUUGGGGAAGAAAAUGACGGUACCCAAAGAGGAAGCUCCGGCUAACUACGUGCCAGCAGCCGCGGUAAUACGUAGGGAGCAAGCGUUGUCCGGAAUUACUGGGUGUAAAGGGAGCGUAGGCGGGAUGGCAAGUAGAAUGUUAAAUCCAUCGGCUCAACCGGUGGCUGCGUUCUAAACUGCCGUUCUUGAGUGAAGUAGAGGCAGGCGGGAUUCCUAGUGUAGCGGUGAAAUGCGUAGAUAUUAGGAGGAACACCAGUGGCGAAGGCGGCCUGCUGGGCUUUAACUGACGCUGAGGCUCGAAAGCGUGGGGAGCAAACAGGAUUAGAUACCCUGGUAGUCCACGCCGUAAACGAUGAUUACUAGGUGUGGGGGGACUGACCCCUUCCGUGCCGCAGUUAACACAAUAAGUAAUCCACCUGGGGAGUACGGCCGCAAGGUUGAAACUCAAAGGAAUUGACGGGGGCCCGCACAAGCAGUGGAGUAUGUGGUUUAA
rnacentral:rRNA from 1 species